GGAAAACAAACAAAAGCACAUUUUUGUAAGCAAAACGUUAAUCAUUGGAAGAAUUGCACCAAUUUCACCAUGACAGUGUGUGAUUAAUCCUCUCGGUCAGGUUACACCUGUUUGGGCCUGAGACUGACGUCAUUUGUACAGUUCAUGUUCAAUGCUGACAGAAGAUCAACACCUUGGAUAGCUUCAGAAAGCCAUUUUUGGGUAAGUAGUUGGAGGCAACACCUAAACCGUAUGUUUUCAGAACUAGGCAGGCUGGGUUACCAGAUUAGCCAGGAGUAUAUUGAGUAAUCAAAGAUAUUAGGGACCUGA